rnacentral:rRNA from 1 species
GACAGAGGUGCCGAGCGUUAGGCGGAAUCACUGGGCUUAAAGCGUGUGUAGGCGGGCGGCCAAGUACCUUGUGGAAAUCCCAACGGCUCAACCGUCGGAACUGCUGGGUAUACUGGUCGUCUUGAGCCAAUCAGGGGCGAGCGGAACAGACGGUGGAGGCGGUGAAAAUGCGUAGAUAUCGUCUGGAACGCCGAAGGUGAAAACAGCUCGCUGGGAUUGAUGCUGACGCUGAGACACGAAAGCCAGGGGAGCGAAACGGGG